rnacentral:rRNA from 1 species
AGGGCACCACCAGGAGUGGAGCCUGCGGCUUAAUUUGACUCAACACGGGGAAACUCACCCGGCCCGGACACCGGAAGGAUUGACAGAUUGAUAGCUCUUUCUUGAUUCGGUGGAUGGUGGUGCACGGCCGUUCUUAGUUGGUGGAGCGAUCUGUCUGGUUAAUUCCGAUAACGAACGAGACUCUAGCCUAUUAAAUAGACGUCGGGUUCUCUGCACUCGACGGUCUUCUUAGAGGGACAAGGUGCUUUUAGCACCGCGAAACAGAGCAAUAACAGGUCUGUGAUGCCCUUAGAUGUCCGGGGCCGCACGCGCGCUACACUGAAGGAAGCAGCGUGUAACAACCUUGUUCUAACGAACUGGGUAACCCGUGGAACUUCCUUCAUGAUUGGGAUAGGGGUUUGCAAUUGUGCCCCUUGAACGAGGAAUUCCCAGUAAACACUAGUCAUCGGCUAGUGCUGAUUACGUCCCUGCCCUUUGUACACACCGCCCGUCGCUACUACCGAUUGAAUGGUUUAGUGA